GACAUGGCUAACCAGAAGAAGCUGAUAGACGAGCUCUGUGGGAUUGUUACUUCUUUUCUAUGUCCCCAGGGGAUUGUGCCAGAGAUUGAAAAAUGUUCUACAAAGCUGCCUCAUUUUUCUAAAGGUGGAACAAAGCCUGUGUGCACAGUGAGGCUCCAGCAUGGCCACACUUAUCACAUUGAGUUUGUGUACAAGUUUUGGCAGCACAUUUUGGGCCAGCUUCGCCUGCCCCUACAGCCUUGCUUUAUUUUGACAAAUAACGGCUUGGCCACCACUUUGAAAUGUUUUAUGAGCCCGCCAAGGGAUAUAGACUUUCAGUAUGGCAACAGGGUCAAUAUGGCCUGCGAUGUGAAUUUGGAGAAAAACUCUUGUGUUAUCAUAGAGGACGAGGAUUUCCUGAGGUUCAAGAGCUACCAUGUGUUUCCCAAGGACGUACCAAUCUAUAACUCUAUGGUGGUAUGUAGAACCUACAUCACUGAUAUGAGGAACGCAGUACAAUUUUUUGUGGUCAAGCCUGGAAACAGGAGAAAGAUUGUGCAUAUGUUGGAAAGUAUUGAGGAGAUGCCUGAAACCCCACAACAGUUGUAUUUUUGUGGUGGACGUGGGUAUAAGAUGAUAGGGGCUGGGCUCUCCCUCUUCUUUUUUGCAGCCAUAGUGGCGCUGGCCAGUAAACUAGUAUGGUGAUGGGGGCCUUGGACUAUCUGCGCUUGAUGAAUAUUUCAGUGGAUGAGUUUAGAAGCUUUUGUAUCUAUGGCCACCUCAGUGGGCAGCGUGGAUGGGGUGAGCUGUUGUUGAGCAAUCUUUCAUUUAAAAGAGCAGUGUGCCAUAUACUGAAAAUACAGUGUGAGACUAAGAAGAGGUGGACAAACAAGGUAUUGGUGGCGAAUAGUGCGUUGUCCCUACUGACCCUCUUCAGGAUGGUUCUUCAUGAAUGUGUUUUUUCACACAAAUAUUUUAUACCUGACAGGAUCGAGGACAUGUGUUUCCCGCUGACCAAAAUACUCACUGUGCCCUUCCUCAAGGCCCUAGAUCUGUAUCUCUCCCAGUUUUCCAUCUCAUGCAAGUUUCCCAUAAUUAAAAUAUCCACUGUGAAUCCUACCCUUCUGGCGUUUACCAAGAAGAAAUAUCUGGCUAGUGUUGUGUCUGAUCAACCCAUCGAGGUCCCUGCUCCAUCUGCCCGGCCUGAUCCUGUGAGGUUUACUGCUGCGGUGCCCUUAGCUUCUGAUGAGCAGUCUCUGGUGAAAGCUUUACAUUCCAGUACCGGGACAGUCCAGUGUGGAAAUCCAUUUUAUUAUAUGAUGACCAGACUUUGCUUGUAUGGACUAAUGCAUGGUAGGGGGGGAAUUGUGCCAGUUUCCAGCUCUAGUAAGCAGAGUGUAUAUGAUGUGGCUAUAAGAUUUAUAGGUUCUAGGAUAUUGAGCCCGAUAGUGAGGCUGCCAAUUUUAUCCAGGGCUUUGGCAGACCUGGCGCUGACGGGGCACGGUCAUCAGAUAACAGUGUGUAAUGAAUGUGGCCACUGUUUAAAUUUGGGCAGGGAUAAAUUUCUUGCAGUAAAUUUUUCCCCCACAAGUAUGUUUUAUUGCAGAGAUCAAAAGGAGAAACAGUUUAACAUAUGUGCUACAACUGGGAGGAUCUAUUGUUCAUAUUGUGGGGCGACAGAGUUUACAGUGUAUGACAUGGUGGGAAGGUAUGCUACGGGGGAGCCUUUUAUUAGGGCGGUUUCCUCAGCUAACUCCCUUAGUAUUUUAGAUAAUAGCGAACAGGAGUGUGAUAUACUGAUCCCUUGUUUUGGUAAAUCUAGGUCUUGCAGUAUUAAGCUGAGGGCGACAUUUAGGGAGCUACUUUAUUUGACAGCGUCUGUUGAUAAUUUUAUUUGUCAAAAGUGUUCCAAUAAGGGUGAUGAAUAAAGACAGGGU
rnacentral:tmRNA from 1 species